UCGAAGCUCAGCCACCGAGCCCUCCUCCGUUUUCCUCGGUGCGCCUGCCGGUCAGAAGGAGGACUCGAUCCACACGUGGUCCCCUACAUCUCCCUCUCUCGAGCUGCUGCUAAAGCACCUCCGUGAACCACAUUUCUCACGCCAUCCCCAUCGCAUAGGGGAGCCAAGCACUAGGGAGACAAAGAGUUGGGAAGGAAGAGAUGAGGAAGAAGGCAAUUUGCAGUUGUUCGGAAAAAGGGGAGGGAUCAAGCCGCAGCCAAAAAGAAGGGAGCCAGGGCAGAGAACGGGAUCAGAAGAUCAUCAUCCCCAACUAGAUUUGGUGAUUCUCAAGCAAAUCUAGACCAAAGAUCCUGUUGGAAAUCCAGGUUGGGCAUGACCGAGGCAAGGAUCAGUGAACUUCAUAAAUUAAAGAAGCGGAAAAUUCUAAGAGAUAUGACAUGUCCAGAAUUCUGCAGUGAUGCUGGAAAGAAAUGAAGAUCUCAGAUUGCUUACAUUGAUGUUGUCGAGAGCAUUAGGAAUGGAAAGCCCAACACUGAGUAUUACUUGAAGCUUGUUAAAUCUGACAUCCAUGGAAAGGACAAGGUCAAAUAUUUAUUGCUGAUUACAGUUUCCAAGGGCUUCACCAAUUCGAAAGGUGCUCUCGCAAACCCGCUAUCCCCUACCAAGGAUCCUCUCGGGAGGAUUGAUCGUGGUGCCAUUCAAAUUUUCUACUUUGAGCGCUGCUUCCAGGUGACACGAACCACUGAUAGUUGUUUGCUUCCUCUUAUCUACCUACUGUGGGAUCUGAGGAUUGUGCCCUUUUGCUGUGGUAUUGGACAUAUACUAUCAAGCAUGUGGUGCAAUGGUUGUAUUUGAGUGCUUUUGCUUCAAGCUACUAUCAGCUGCUUAGUUCUGUAGUUUCUUUCGUCAUGUGGUGUGCUUCUUCGGAAAAAAAGAUUUGUGUAUAUAUUUCUGAUUUACUACUGGUUUGUUUCACUCUUAUUAUCAGUGCUAUGUGCAAUAAUUCCCCGAUAC